rnacentral:rRNA from 1 species
AUUGAACGCUGGCGGCAUGCUUUACACAUGCAAGUCGGACGGCAGCACAGAGAAGCUUGCUUCUUGGGUGGCGAGUGGCGAACGGGUGAGUAACAUAUCGGAACGUACCGAGCAGUGGGGGAUAACUAAUCGAAAGAUUAGCUAAUACCGCAUAUCUUCUGAGGAAGAAAGCAGGGGACCAUUUGGCCUUGCGCUGUUUGAGCGGCCGAUAUCUGAUUAGCUAGUUGGUGGGGUAAAGGCCUACCAAGGCGACGAUCAGUAGCGGGUCUGAGAGGAUGAUCCGCCACACUGGGACUGAGACACGGCCCAGACUCCUACGGGAGGCAGCAGUGGGGAAUUUUGGACAAUGGGCGCAAGCCUGAUCCAGCCAUGCCGCGUGUCUGAAGAAGGCCUUCGGGUUGUAAAGGACUUUUGUCAGGGAAGAAAAGGGCGGGGUUAAUACCCCUGUCUGAUGACGGACCUGAAGAAUAAGCACCGC